CACGUAGGGAGCAAGCGUUGUCCGGAUUUAUUGGGCGUAAAGAGCUCGUAGGCGGUUCAGUAAGUCAGGUGUGAAACCUCCAGGCUCAACCUGGAGACGCCACCUGAUACUGCUGUGACUGGAGUCCGGUAGGGGAGCGUGGAAUUCCUGGUGUAGCGGUGAAAUGCGCAGAUAUCAGGAGGAACACCAGCGGCGAAGGCGGCGCUCUGGGCCGGUACUGACGCUGAGGAGCGAAAGCGUGGGUAGCAAACAGG
rnacentral:rRNA from 1 species